rnacentral:rRNA from 1 species
CUUCCGUUAGUGAACCUGCGGAAGGAUCAUUGUCGAAACCUGCAACAGCAGAACGACCCGUGAACACGUUUUAAACAGCUUGGGCGGGCGAGAGGAGCUUGCUCCUUGGACCCGCCCGCACCUGCUGGGAGAAAUCUCGGCGGGCUAACGAACCCCGGCGCAAUCUGCGCCAAGGAACAAUAAAAGAUUAUCGCGUGGCUCGUGCGGUGGCCCGGAGACGGUGUCCGCCAAUCGAGAUGCGUGUUUAUCGAAAUGUCUAAACGACUCUCGGCAACGGAUAUCUCGGCUCUCGCAUCGAUGAAGAACGUAGCGAAAUGCGAUACUUGGUGUGAAUUGCAGAAUCCCGUGAACCAUCGAGUCUUUGAACGCAAGUUGCGCCCGAAGCCACUAGGCCGAGGGCACGUCUGCCUGGGCGUCACACGCCGUUGCCCCCAUGUGCACUGCCAAAAGCGUGUUCAGGAGGGGCGGAGACUGGCUUCCCAUGAGCAUUGCCUUGUGGUUGGCCUAAAUUCGAGUCGUCGGCCGCAAUCGCCUCGACAUUCGGUGGUUUUCGAUUAUAUCGGUGCCCCGUCGUGCGCGAAUCCGUGACCGACUAGACCCGUACGACCCCAAUGUGCUGCGAACGCACUGCCUUCAACGCGUCCCCAGGUCAGGCGGGAUCACCCGCUGAAUUUAAGCAUAUCAAUAAGCGGAGGAA